UCUAGGUUGUGACAAGUUGACCAGGCUAACAGGAUGGUGGGGAACUGGAAUGAGGACAGAGAAGGGCAGAAGACACGGGGAGACAGACUAGGUGCACACAGGGACACGGAUUGUGCUACCUUGGAAGCCACCCUUGACCUUGGCCAUCUGACUCCAAGAAGACCCUUCAGUCGCCAGCAGGACAAAGUGAGAGGGAAGGACCUGACCCACGCAGACCCAUCAACCCCAUGAGAAAGACGACCCAGAAUGUGACCCGUGAUAAUGCACCAGCAUCUUCAAUUCUGCAGAUUUCUCUUCCAGACAGCUUUCCUGCCUCUGCAUCCGUGAAGCCAUCAUCUCUUUGGAGAUGGAAGUCUCUGCAUCCUUGCAAUAAAGGGAGGCUCAAGCAUCAGUGGGGAAGAUCGUGUCAUCUGGCUUUUCUGAGGGGCUCACUCCCAGAGCAUGCUCUGGUGGGUGGGGACUCCCUUUCUCUCCCCUCUCCAGCUUUGAGGACACCUAUGCUUGGCCCAUGACAGAGCCUGCAAGGGCCCACGUGAGAAAUGGGUCUCUGCAAAACAAGUGUUUGGAUGCCUGAGUCACCUGGGAAUCCAUCUACUGCUUCCAGCAAGCCUUUGUUAUGCACUGAGCAAUGUGUGCCAUCUGCCUGACCAAUGGCUAGCAAGCCACAUAGUCUGUCUUCAAGUCCCUACAGUCUCGUGAGUUGGUCAAAGCCGCGAGACUGAAUCAGUCACAACUCACAACAGUGCUAUCAAAACCUCAAAGCAAUAUGGUUCAGCAGGGCGUGACAGUUCACACCUUCAAUCCUAGCGCUCAGGAGCGGGAGGCAAGAAGAUCACCAUGUGUGAAAAGCCAGCCUGGUGUACGUUCAAGUUUCAGGCUAGCUAGGACUAUAGAGCAAGAUCUUGUCCUUCUGUCUCCACUCUUCCCAACAAUACAGUUCAGAUAAGAUGGGAUUUUAUUGUUUCUUCACACAAAGUGGAGAGUGAGCAGCAGAGACGGGCACGCCUUCCCUGUUCUGGCUCUGACAGCCUGAGCAUAUGAUCUCCAUUCAGUUAGCCCAUGCUCCUUCACUACCAUCCACAACCUAGCAUGGAAAGGAGAAAAGCAGAUAGGACAAAUGUCUGUCUGACUGGAUUCAGAAACACUUGGGUAUGCUUAACUUGCCGUUCCCGAGACACAUGUGUCUCAGGACUGAUACAAAUGCGGCCCAGUUCAUUGGUAGAUGAAGACAGCAUGUCACCAUGGCAAAGGGUUGGGCACCGCUGGGCCCUUGGGCAAUAUUGAGGCCCAUCUUUGAAUGUAUCUGUGAGUGUGCUUCCAGAGAAGAUUAAAUGAGGGGGAAGACCCACCCCGAGUGUGAGCAGCACUGUCCCAUGGGCUGAGGACUCAGACUGAAUAAAGAAGGCCUGUGAUUUCCUCACCAUCACGGACCGUACCCUUGAACCGUGAGCCAAACAAAUCUUCCCUCCUUUAAAUUACAUACUGCUGGGUAUUUCAACCACGACAUAAAAAAAGAAAACUAAUACAGAGGGAAAGAAAAGUGUGGUUUGUAUAACAGUUUCUGACUUGAAACUGUCACUCAUGAGAUCCAGGAAAACCUUGCUAAGAUCACAGAAGCAACGAACCGCUGCCGGGGGAGGGGAUUCUGAUCAUCAAGGCUGCCUGAAGAAGAUUCUCCAAUCUCAGAGCUGCCUGCAAAUCUCUCAGAGAGGCCCAAGGUUUAAGCAUUUGUGAGUCACAAAUCAUGAGUCAAA